rnacentral:rRNA from 1 species
UCCUUGUCGGGUAAGUUCCGACCUGCACGAAUGGCGUAAUGAUGGCCAGGCUGUCUCCACCCGAGACUCAGUGAAAUUGAACUCGCUGUGAAGAUGCAGUGUACCCGCGGCAAGACGGAAAGACCCCGUGAACCUUUACUAUAGCUUGACACUGAACAUUGAGCCUUGAUGUGUAGGAUAGGUGGGAGGCUUUGAAGCGUGGACGCCAGUCUGCGUGGAGCCGACCUUGAAAUACCACCCUUUAAUGUUUGAUGUUCUAACGUGGACCCGUAAUCCGGGUUGCGGACAGUGUCUGGUGGGUAGUUUGACUGGGGCGGUCUCCUCCUAAAGAGUAACGGAGGAGCACGAAGGUUGGCUAAUCCUGGUCGGACAUCAGGAGGUUAGUGCAAUGGCAUAAGCCAGCUUGACUGCGAGCGUGACGGCGCGAGCAGGUGCGAAAGCAGGUCAUAGUGAUCCGGUGGUUCUGAAUGGAAGGGCCAUCGCUCAACGGAUAAAAGGUACUCCGGGGAUAACAGGCUGAUACCGCCCAAGAGUUCAUAUCGACGGCGGUGUUUGGCACCUCGAUGUCGGCUCAUCACAUCCUGGGGCUGAAGUAGGUCCCAAGGGUAUGGCUGUUCGCCAUUUAAAGUGGUACGCGAGCUGGGUUUAGAACGUCGUGAGACAGUUCGGUCCCUAUCUGCCGUGGGCGCUGGAGAACUGAGGGGGGCUGCUCCUAGUACGAGAGGACCGGAGUGGACGCAUCACUGGUGUUCGGGUUGUCAUGCCAAUGGCACUGCCCGGUAGCUAAAUGCGGAAGAGAUAAGUGCUGAAAGCAUCUAAGCACGAAACUUGCCCCGA